UCAAUGAGCCCAGCCAUCCCCGGAGUGCACCAUGUACAGUGUGUGAGAGGUCUACAGAGGGGAUGCUACAUGUUUCCUGCUAGGUCUCCAGCCAUUUAAAGUUUAGAACCCGAGCCAGCACAUGCGUUCUCCAAUGGUCAGCAGAGAUGCUCUCGCACUCCAAGCUCUGCACAAUUUCUUAGGCCAAGCGGCUCUGCGAUGACACGCUGCGGCUUAUA